GCCUCGGUGGUGGAAUUGGUAGACACGCUAGAUUCAAAAUCUGGUGGGCUCUGCUCGUGCCGGUUCGAGUCCGGCCCGAGGUACCA
rnacentral:tRNA from 1 species